rnacentral:rRNA from 1 species
CUACGAAAGUAAGUUGACGGGGCCCGCACAAGCGGAGGAACAUUGUUGGUUUAAUUCGAUGAUACGCGAGGAACCUUACUGGGCUUAAAUGUAGAGUGCAUUUUUUUAGAGAUAGAAAUUCCCUUCGGGGCUUUUCUGCAAGGUGCUGCAUGGUUGUCGUCAGCUCGUGCCGUGAGGUGUCGGGUUAAGUCCCAUAACGAGCGCAACCCUUAUCGUUAGUUGCCAGCUGGUAAAGCAGGGGACUCUAGCGAAACUGCCACCGUAAGGUGAGAGGAAGGUGGGAUGACGUCAAAUCAGCACGGCCCUUAUGUCCAGGGCUACACACGUGUUACAAUGGCCGGCACAGAGGGCAGCUACCUGGUGACAGGAUGCUAAUCUCGAAAACCGGUCUCAGUUCGGAUCGAAGUCUGCAACUCGACUUCGUGAAGCUGGAUUCGCUAGUAAUCGCGCAUCAGCCAUGGCGCGGUGAAUACGUUCCCGGGCCUU